AUGGCCUGGGCUCCUGUCCUUCUCCUGGUCCUGUCUCACUGCUCAGGUUCCCUCUCCCAGCCUGUGCUGACUCAGCUGCCCUCCCUUUCUACAUCUCCUGGAUCAUCCGCCAGAUUAACCUGCACCCUGAGAAGUGGCAUCAAUGUUGGUAGCUACAGGAUAUACUGGCACCAACAAAAUCCAGGGAGCCUUCCCCGGUAUCUCCUGAGAUUCAAGUCAGACUCAGAUAAGCACCAGGGCUCUGGGGUCCCCAGCCACUUCUCUGGAUCCAAAGACCCCUCGGCCAAUGCAGGGAUCCUGCACAUCUCUAGGCUGCAGGCUGAGGACGAGACUGACUAUUACUGUGCCAUAUGGUACAACAAUGCUUCUCACAGUGACACAAGCAAAUGGAGAGGUAUCCCUGAUCACUUCUCUGGUUCCAAGUCUGGAAACAUGGCCUCCCUGACCAUCUCGGGCCUUCAGGCUGAGGACGAGGCUGAUUAUUACUAUUUCACAUGGGACAGCAGUCUGAAUGUUGACACAGUGCUCCAGACUCAUGGGGAACUGAGACAAAAACCUGCCCCUGCUCCCCGGUGA